AGAGUUAGAGAUUAUAAUUUAGUCAUAAGAAUGAAUAAAGACCACCGUGUUCCAUAAAUUCUGAAUGAGAUUCACAUUGUCUUUUGUUUUUAAAACAAAGGAUUAUCUUCUCCAUUUAAUCUGCUCAUGGUGAUAAAUUUAUGUACAUGUCAGUUUGCCCUUGAAUUUAUCACUAGUAUCUAUUUUAAUUUCUCUGUUCCCAGAAGGCAAGAGCCAUGUUGCUAAAUUGAUCUAUCAGUCAACACAACAGAUCAUUUAACGAAUUUUGCCUUAACGCUAAUGAUAGUUUAAAAACACUACCAAAUUAGAAGUUUACAGGUUUUCCUUCUCUUCUUUCUUCUGGUCACUGCAUUGGUUGUGAUGAACAGAUGGUAUGUGGAGAAUUGUACAUUGUUUCCCACAGAGAUGAUACUCUUUCUCAGCUUACCUCAGCCUCAAAUAUCAUGUAACCUUAUGGCUUUUCUUCCUCCUACUGAUAUAUCUCACUAAUCAUUCCAUUAAGUUAAACUAGCUUUUAAAAAUCUUGUCAAGAAGAUAUAAUAGUGAUCAAAAACAAAAUUUUAGAAAACAGAAUUGUCAUGUAAAUUCAUGGCAAGCAUAUGUCAAAGGUUUGUUUGACUCAUACCAACAGAAUGACAAAAAUGGAAAUGGAGAGAAUACAAAAAGACAGACAUAUGACAAUGCAAACAAAUUUGGGGGGGAGUUUAGAUUUUAAAAAUGAUUAAUGAAAUCAUAACCUUGGAGAUUAUCUUCUCUGUAAGACAGAAGUCAAUAGCAUCACCACUACAAAAAUGAAACCUUGCAUGUUAUCUAUUUUCUUGAAGUUAAUCUCUAACUUUACAGAACCUGGAUCCUGAUGAGAGUAAAUAGUAAGUCAAAUAAGUCACAUUCCCUUAGAUAUUCAGAUGACCUAGUUUGAUAGCACUCUAGAAUGACACUGAAAGAACAAAAAGCCUUUUGUUCCUUAUUUCCAGGUUUUAACAAAAUAUUAAGUUUAUUUUAGUAUUAAAUACAACAUAAAUUAAUGAAUUGUAUAAUACACAGCAAAAUGUUUUUCUAAAUUCUCAUAAAACUGAAUUAUUUCCAGUAGUUUAAUUUUAUAAACUAUAUUUGUAAUCUUUAUAAUCAUCAGUCCCAGACAUGUGAAGUAUAGGGUAAAAAGGAACAAUUUUCUAGUUCAAAUAUAUGCAUACAAUCAAUAUAACAUGUAUGUAUGUAUGUAUAUGCAUACACCCAUAUGCUCACACAUAUGCAAACACAUACUGAUAUGCAUUUGUUUCCAAUUUGGGGGGGACACUAUAUAUACUUAAUCUAGUCAAGGAAAUGAAACUGUUUAAGUGAGAAUAAUAUCUGAUGUUAUCAAUGUCCAUUUGGCAAUGCAAUAUAACUUUCCUCUUUGAUGAAUCUGCAUAUACCACUAGGUUGUUUCCUAUUUCUUAUCCUCAGAAGACUUACUGAAAAAUGAGAAUUUACAUUUGGUUCACUGUUUUAGAAAAUACUUCUAGAAACAGUGCUUUUGUAUUUUAAAUGUUCUAUAGCUUAAUCACUUAAUAUUUAGUUAUUUUUAAUAUUAAGAAAGUUAAUUUUUUACUCUUGAUGCUGAAACAUUGUGCCCAUGCAAUAUUUCUAACAGUAUUUGUAGCUAUGUUCUGUUUUCCUGACCACAUCUGAAUGUUCAUGUUUCUCCUCAAUGAUGUAAAUUCAUUUGUUAUGAUGGUAGCUUCACAUAUGGGUCAUUGGCGUGAUUUGGUUCAUUUAUUUCUUGGUAACUUAGAUUUGUGUUUGCAUUUAUUUGGAAAGAGAAUACAUAAUACCAAAAGUGUUACAAGGAGGAAUAUGUUAAAUGUUUAGUUUAGGAUGCUAAUCUUGAGUGUGUUCCUUUAAAUUCCUUUCAUAAUAAAUCACUUGCUGCUUUCUGAAGCUGAUUAGAACUGACCAGCAGCUAGUGAGCAAUUUCAGGUUUCAGAUAAUUCAGUGCAUUUGAAAUGGCAUCCCGCUUUUCUCUUUAGUCAGGUGAUAUGACAAUGUAUUAACGUCCAAAAGAUAUACUUAUACAUAAGUAAAGAACAUGUUUAAAGCCUUAAAUUAUUUUUCAAUAGCUCUCAGAAAACUAUGAAGCUUUUUUAAGUUAUGUCACUGGCGAUUUAACUAACAUUUUGGAAAAAAGACCUCUCUUUUAGUUACAAUUCUUUUAUCAUGGCCUACCAAAACUAUUUAUGAUAAAACACUCUUAAAUGCACACUGUCUGUAUUGACUUUAAGUAGAAAUCCUAACACAACAGUACAAAUCUGCAAAGUCUUUGAUAUCACAUCUACUCUGUUUUCAGCACAUGAACUAUUAUUGACUGACAUUGCGAAGACUGUAUAUAUCCAAAGAAUAUUUACAAAACCAGAAUUUACUUCAGGCUGCAAAUAAAAUAUUCAUUAUUUAAAAAAAAGAAAGACAAAUACCAUAUGAUAUCACUUAUAUCUGGAAUCUAAUAUAUGGCACAAAUGAACCUUUUCACAGAAAAGAAACUCAUGGACUUGGAGAACAGACUUAUGGUUGCCAAGGGGGAGGAGGAGGGAGUGGGAUGGACUGGGAGUCUGGGGUUAAUAGAUGUAGACUACUGCAUUUGGAGUGGAUAAGCAAUGAGGUCAUGCUAUAGAGAACAGAGAACUAUAUCCAGUCACUUGUGAUGGAUGAUGGAGGAUAAUGUGAGAAAAAGAAUAUACAUAUUCAUAUAUAUGACUGAGUCACUUUGCUGUACAGUAGAAAUUGACAGAACACUGUGAACAACUUCUGGAAAAAAUUAAAAUCACAAAAUCAAAAAAUAAAAUAAAAUGCUAGAGGUAGGUUACUCAAUAUAUAAUCUACAGCUUUGUAUGUGACUAUUUAAAUGUUAAUCAAUGGAAAUUAAAGGGCGUUAAAAAUUGAAUUCCUCCCUCAUACUAGCCACAACCACCACACAGGUCUAGUAGCUAAGGUAGUAUAUAGAGAAGUAUGCAAUAACCACACAGGUCUAGUAGCCAUGGUAUUGUAUAGAGAGGGGAUAAGAAGUAUGCAAAUACAGAGCAUUUCUUUCUUGCUGAAUGUUUUCUUAGACAAGUGCUGGGUUAGAGCAGCCAGGAUUCACUUCUCUACUAAACUGAUUCUAAUAAUGUGUUUACUAAAUUUUAUUCCAAUUGACCUAUAUCUAGUGAAUGUUUGAAUAGAGCCAUAAUCUUUAUUUAUAAGAUAAAUAUAUUUUUAAAAAUCAAUUUAGAAACCUUGUAAUACUUCUUUUUUGCAUAUUUUUCUAUUAGAAACUGUAAGUGAUAUAUGAAAAUUUACUACUAAUUGGCUUCCUGUUAAUUUGCACUUGCAUAUUUAACAGUCCUUCCUUAAAUGUUCUAUUGCCAAUUUAUUUACUGCAUAGAGGCUGAAAGCUGUAAUAUCUUAUGGCUGACUUGCAACCUACAUUAAUCAAAAAAGCCAUCCUUCACCCUACUGCCUUUUAAAAACAAUUCCAAAAUGAGUAUGAGGCUAUCCUUGGUUGAGAACAAUGAUAUACAGCAAAACAAAAAUUGGAAAAUAAUGUUUCAUUUCCUUUUAUUUCCUCCUGUGACUUGGAAGUUAGAAUCAAAAUUUUAAUUCUACUACUAUAUGGGGGGGGGGCAGAAAUGUGUGCUUAAUAUUCCAAGCAACCAUGCUAGCUUAAUUUCUCCCUGUUUCCAUACCUGUGACCAGUGUUUAAAAUAAACUCUGUGAUUCACUAUUUCCCAAAGAUAUACUGAAUUUUCUAUUUGCCUUUAUCAGCUUAUAUCCUUUCCAGAAUUCCCACCUCACUCCAUUCCGCCCUUAACAUUACUCCAGAUUAGGAGUUCCCGUCAUGGCUCAGUAGUUAAUGAAUCCGACUAAAAACCAUGAGGUUGCAGGUUCGAUCCCUGGCCUUGCUCACGGGGUUAAGGAUCCAGCAUUGCCGUGAGUUGUGGUGUAGGUCGCAGAAGUGGCUCAGAUCCCUGGUUGCUGUGGCUCUGAUGUAGGCCGGCAGCUACAGCUCCGAUUUGACCCCUGGCCUGGGAACCUCCAUAUGCUGUGGGAGCAGCCCAAGAAAUGG
rnacentral:lncRNA from 1 species